rnacentral:rRNA from 1 species
UAUGAACGCUAGCUACAGGCUUAACACAUGCAAGUCGAGGGGCAGCAUUUCAGUUUGCUUGCAAACUGGAGAUGGCGACCGGCGCACGGGUGAGUAACACGUAUCCAACCUGCCGAUAACUCGGGGAUAGCCUUUCGAAAGAAAGAUUAAUACCCGAUGGUAUAAUCAGACCGCAUGGUCUUGUUAUUAAAGAAUUUCGGUUAUCGAUGGGGAUGCGUUCCAUUAGGCAGUUGGUGAGGUAACGGCUCACCAAACCUUCGAUGGAUAGGGGUUCUGAGAGGAAGGUCCCCCACAUUGGAACUGAGACACGGUCCAAACUCCUACGGGAGGCAGCAGUGAGGAAUAUUGGUCAAUGGGCGCAGGCCUGAACCAGCCAAGUAGCGUGAAGGAUGACUGCCCUAUGGGUUGUAAACUUCUUUUAUAUGGGAAUAAAGUUUUCCACGUGUGGAAUUUUGUAUGUACCAUAUGAAUAAGGAUCGGCUAACUCCGUGCCAGCAGCCGCGGUAAUACGGAGGAUCCGAGCGUUAUCCGGAUUUAUUGGGUUUAAAGGGAGCGUAGGUGGACAGUUAAGUCAGUUGUGAAAGUUUGCGGCUCAACCGUAAAAUUGCAGUUGAUACUGGCUGUCUUGAGUACAGUAGAGGUGGGCGGAAUUCGUGGUGUAGCGGUGAAAUGCUUAGAUAUCACGAAGAACUCCGAUUGCGAAGGCAGCUCACUGGACUGCAACUGACACUGAUGCUCGAAAGUGUGGGUAUCAAACAGGAUUAGAUACCCUGGUAGUCCACACAGUAAACGAUGAAUACUCGCUGUUUGCGAUAUACAGUAAGCGGCCAAGCGAAAGCAUUAAGUAUUCCACCUGGGGAGUACGCCGGCAACGGUGAAACUCAAAGGAAUUGACGGGGGCCCGCACAAGCGGAGGAACAUGUGGUUUAAUUCGAUGAUACGCGAGGAACCUUACCCGGGCUUAAAUUGCAUUUGAAUAAUCUGGAAACAGGUUAGCCGCAAGGCAAAUGUGAAGGUGCUGCAUGGUUGUCGUCAGCUCGUGCCGUGAGGUGUCGGCUUAAGUGCCAUAACGAGCGCAACCCUUAUCUUUAGUUACUAACAGGUCAUGCUGAGGACUCUAGAGAGACUGCCGUCGUAAGAUGUGAGGAAGGUGGGGAUGACGUCAAAUCAGCACGGCCCUUACGUCCGGGGCUACACACGUGUUACAAUGGGGGGUACAGAAGGCAGCUACCUGGUGACAGGAUGCUAAUCCCAAAAGCCUCUCUCAGUUCGGAUCGAAGUCUGCAGCCCGACUUCGUGAAGCUGGAUUCGCUAGUAAUCGCGCAUCAGCCAUGGCGCGGUGAAUACGUUCCCGGGCCUUGUACACACCGCCCGUCAAGCCAUGAAAGCCGGGGGUACCUGAAGUGCGUAACCGCGAGGAGCGCCCUAGGG